CACGGUGUUCUUGAAGUCAAUUGAUGCUUCAAGGAAUGUAAAAAAUGCCGAGUAUCUUUGUGGGUUGUUGGAGGAAGUGUUGGAGAAUGUGGGUGAGGAGAAUGUGGUGCAAAUAGUGACUGAUAAUUUAGCAAAUUAUGUUGCUAUAGGUAGACUUCCUAUGGAGAGGCACCCACCUUGUUUUGGACCCCUUAUGUUGCUCAUUGCAUUGACCUCAUAUUGGAGUAUCUUGGUAAAAUUCCAUGGAUUAAAACAUGUGUAGAGGCUGGAAGGAAUAUUUGUAAAUACAUAUAUAAUCAUGCCUGGGUCCUCAACUUUAUGAGAAAUUUCACAAAUAAGAAAGAGUUGUCUCGUCUAGGAAUUACCCGAUUUGCAACAAAUUUUAUCACGUUGCAAUCCUUGCUUCAGUCCAAGGCUGGAUUGAAACGGAUGUUUGUAAGUGAGGAGUGGACGAAAUCAUCAUAUGCAAAGACCACUGCAGGGAUUGAGACGACUGAUCAGGUGUUUGAAGAGCAUAGCUUUUGGCAACCGGCCAAGGAGAUUGUGCAGUUUAUAGAGCUUUUUGUUGUUCUACGAUUUGUUGAUGGAGAGAAGCUCACAAUGGGCUACAUUUAUGAGGGCAUGGACAGGGUGAAGGAGGCCAUUAGAGCCAUUUAUUUGGGGAAUCAAGCUAAGUAUGGUCCCAUAUGGGAAGUCAUUGAUUGACGAUUGCACAAUCUGCUUCACAAGCCUAUACAUGCAACCGCCUACUACCUUAAUCCGACAUUCCAGUUUCGGCCAGAUUUCAAGGUCGAUGACAAGGUGUUGAAUGGGCUCUAUGAAGUUGUAGAGCGAAUGUCACCUGAUACAUCAGUUGGUGCACACAAAGUCCGUGAGUUAGAGAUGUUUAGGAAUGCACAAGGAGACUUCUUCUCACGAGACAUAUGCAAGCAAAACCGGACACAAAUGAUGCCAGAUGCAUGGUGGAAGAUGUUUGGUAAUAAGGUGCCAAAUCUGCAGAAGAUUGCAGUUUGUAUCUUGAGCUAGCCAUGUAGUGCUUCAGGAUGUGAGCGCAAUUGGAGCAUGUUCGAGCAUAUUCACUCCAAAAAGUGCAAUAGGUUGGUGGUGCAAAGGUUGAAUGAUCUUGUGUUUGUUCAUUUCAACCUUCACCUUCAUCACAGACAAAUCUUGGGCACUGACACAUCUCCUAUCACUUUAGAUGAGGUUGAUCCGCAGGGAGAGUGGAACACUGAGCUUGAUGAUCCUGUCUUCAGUGAUGAAGACUUAGAGAGUGGGUUGAUUAGGUAGAUCGAGAGGCAGACGCAGUGGCGAUGGCACAGGAGGAGGCUAGAGAACGAGGAGAUCCAUUGGAGGACCUCGAGGAUGAUGUGGAUGAGGAUAUGGAUGUGAUUGAGCGUGAGCUUGAGCCUCAGACACAGCAGAGACCAUGGCUACAAAACGUUCCAAGACCUAUCUUAGGCGCACACGUAGGACAAUUGCGGGGUUGACUAAUAUUGGCUCCUCCGAGCCUUAGACUUCUAGGCUCUAGCUUUUAUGU